rnacentral:rRNA from 1 species
UACGGGGGGGGCAAGCGUUGUUCGGAAUUACUGGGCGUAAAGGGCUCGUAGGUGGCCAACUAAGUCAGACGUGAAAUCCCUCAGCUUAACUGGGGAACUGCGUCUGAUACUGGAUGGCUUGAGUUUGGGAGAGGGAUGCGGAAUUCCAGGUGUAGCGGUGAAAUGCGUAGAUAUCUGGAGGAACACCGGUGGCGAAGGCAGCCCCCUGGGUCAAGAUUGACGCUCAUGCACGAAAGCGUGGGGAGCAAACAGG